rnacentral:sRNA from 1 species
UCCAAUAGCUCAGCUGGACGAGGGGUUGGACUGCUGAACAAAAGAUAAUUUUGCCCAUUGCUAGCCGCGUCUGCGAUACCAUUUGGUGGGUAAAACGUGCUAGACUAGAAGACAAAAGAAAGCGAGUUUCAAAAGUACCAAGGUGACAAGUGCGUGGGGAAACCAGUGUAAGACCCCUUCUUUCGUGAUCCCGUUAACAGAAAAAAGAAAAAGAAAAAAGAAAGAAAAAACGCCCAAAACCCCAGCGCCGGACAGAAAUAUAUACAAAAAUAUACGCUGACAGGGUAUCCCGCGAAACUCCAAAAUGAUCUAGGGUAUUAUGUUGUUGCUGCUCUCCCAGUCUCCCAGCAAAGCAGGCAACCUGCGCCGGGAAUCAUACUCUCGCUUCAUUCAACAACAGACCGGCUGUGACUCCAAGACUCCA